GUAACAGUGUCACGCCUGCUUGCCUGCUACCAUGCUCUCCUUCAUGAUUCAUUGACUAAUCCUCUGGAACCAUGAGCCCCAAUGAACUCUUUCUUUUAUAUGUCACCUUCAUCAUGGAGUCUUCUCUCUGCAGUAGAAGACUAAGACAUACAUUUCAAUAUAUUCAGCCUUGAAGGGAGGUAGUUAGUGGAUGAGGCCAGGAAUGAAUAAAUGUGAAAAGAACUUUGCACAUAGUCUCCAAAGAUGCUGGAAGAUGCAGUUCAGUUAUUCACAAAACAUAGUGAAUUGACUGGACAUUCUCCACCCCACCCUGACACCAACUUCUGUCCUUCUUUCUACUCCUUAGGAUCUCUGCCUGUAAUAAAAUUUUGAUUUGUUUAAACAGUACAGAAAUAUUAUGUGGAUAUGGUUUUUGUUUUAAUCCCAGGUAUGAGAUAUAGGGCUGCUUCAGAUUGUCCACAGUAACUAACUAUGUUUCAUUCUCUGGCAGGGAUAUAAUUUUGCCAGCUGAAGAUCGUUUAUGUUUGAAACUCUGGGGCCUCUUCAGAGGGUAUGUAAAUGCCAGAGCCCCAAGAAAGGGGGCAGCUGCUGUUCCCUGUGUUGCUGCUCCCCUCUUGCUGCCCCCUUGGUCCUGCUGUUGCUGGCUGCUGGUUGGAGACCUGAUGACAAAGAUUAAACUUGCCACAAGGAACUCGAUACCCCUAUCAGCAGGAAGUAGUCUAACAGAUCUCCAUUGACAGAGACCCAGAUGCAACAUCAGCAAGAAUUUCUUCACUGGAUCCAUGAAAAGAAGCAUAUGACAUAAUCAAAGCAGAAACACCCAAAUAAAACAGAAGACACCUUUUUAAUGAACUUAGUUUUUUGUAGAAAAGCAUUGUUGAAACUUUACUGGCCUUGCUUGAUGACUUUAUUGACUUAUUUUAUGAUUGACACAGUUUUGUUUAAGAUAACAUAAAGCCAAUUAUCAAUG